AUGAGGCUUGCUACUCCAAUUCUGGGACUGGUCAUGCUCUGGAACUCUGUGUUCAGUCAGGAUAUUGUGCUGACGCAGAGUCCAGUCUCCCUGUCCAUCACUCUUGGGGACUCAGCCACUAUAACAUGCAAGACAAGCCUUCCAGAAGAUUAUGGGGAUUACGCCUAUCUAAACUGGUACCAGCAGAAACCAGGCCAGGCUCUAAAGCCACUGAUCUAUACAGUUUCUAACCGGGGACCUGGGGUCCCAGACAGGUUCAUUGGCAGUGGGUCAGGAGCAGAUUACAUGCUUAAGAUCAACACAGUAGAGGAUGAAGAUGCUGCAGUUUAUUACUGCCAGCAAAAUGAAAGAUUCCCUCCCACAGUGGUAUAUCCUUGUACAUAA